UACGUAGGCGGUUUCUUAAGUUAGAUGUUAAAUCUGCAGGCUCAACUUGCAGGCCGCAUCUAAGACUGGGAGACUUGAGUAUGGAAGAGGUAGGCGGAAUUCAUGGUGGAGAGGUUAAAUUCGUGGAUAUCAUGAGGAACACCAAUGGCGAAGGCAGUCUACUGGGCCAUUACUGACGCUAAGGUACGAAAGCGUGGGGAGCGAUCG
rnacentral:rRNA from 1 species